AGUGAACGCUGGCGGUAGGCCUAACACAUGCAAGUCGAACGGCCGCACAGUAAGAGCUUGCCCUUACGGUUGGCGACGGGCGGAUGGGUGAGGAAUACAUCGCAAUCUACUUUUUCGUGGGGGAUAUCGUAGGGAAAGUUCCGCUACUACCGCAUAUGACCUACGGGUGAAAGCAGGGGAUCUUCGCACCUUUCCCGUCUGAUUGAGCCGAUGCCGGAUUAGCUAGUUGGCUGGGUAAAGGCACACCAAGGCGACGAUCCGUAGCUGGUCUGAGAGGAUGAUCGGCCACACUGGAACUGAGACACGGUCCAGACUCCUACGGGAGGCAGCAGUGGGGAAUAUUGGGCAAUGGGCGCAAGCCUGACCGAGCCAUGCCGCGUGGGUGAUGAAGGCCUUCGGGUUGUAAAGCCCUUUUGUUGGGAAAGAAAAGCAGCAGGUUAAUACGCGGCUGUUCUGACGGUACCCAAAGAAAAAGCACCGGCUAACUUCGUG
rnacentral:rRNA from 1 species